ACAAGGGUUCCGUAGGUGAACCUGCGGAAGGAUCAUUA
rnacentral:rRNA from 1 species